GUGGGGAAUCUUCCGCAAUGGGCGCAAGCCUGACGGAGCAACGCCGCGUGAAUGAAGAAGGCCUUCGGGUCGUAAAGUUCUGUCUUUAGGGACGAAUGCACGAUUGCGAAUAGUUGUUGUGUUGACGGUACCUGAGGAGGAAGCUCCGGCUAACUACGUGCCAGCAGCCGCGGUAAUACGUAGGGAGCAAGCGUUGUCCGGAAUUACUGGGCGUAAAGGGCGCGUAGGUGGACAUUUAAGUCAGAUGUGAAAACUCUGGGCUCAACUUGGAGAUUGCAUUUGAAACUGGACGUCUUGAGGGUAGGAGAGGAAAGUGGAAUUCCUAGUGUAGCGGUGAAAUGCGUAGAUAUUAGGAGGAACACCAGUGGCGAAGGCGACUUUCUGGACUAUACCUGACACUGAGGCGCGAAAGCGUGGGGAGCGAACGGGA
rnacentral:rRNA from 1 species